rnacentral:rRNA from 1 species
ACCGACUAAUGUUGAAAAAUUAGCGGAUGACUUGUGGCUGGGGGUGAAAGGCCAAUCAAACCGGGAGAUAGCUGGUUCUCCCCGAAAGCUAUUUAGGUAGCGCCUCGUGAAUUCAUCUCCGGGGGUAGAGCACUGUUUCGGCAAGGGGGUCAUCCCGACUUACCAACCCGAUGCAAACUGCGAAUACCGGAGAAUGUUAUCACGGGAGACACACGGCGGGUGCUAACGUCCGUCGUGAAGAGGGAAACAACCCAGACCGCCAGCUAAGGUCCCAAAGUCAUGGUUAAGUGGGAAACGAUGUGGGAAGGCCCAGACAGCCAGGAUGUUGGCUUAGAAGCAGCCAUCAUUUAAAGAAAGCGUAAUAGCUCACUGGUCGAGUCGGCCUGCGCGGAAGAUGUAACGGGGCUAAACCAUGCACCGAAGCUGCGGCAGCGACGCUUAUGCGUUGUUGGGUAGGGGAGCGUUCUGUAAGCCUGUGAAGGUGUGCUGUGAGGCAUGCUGGAGGUAUCAGAAGUGCGAAUGCUGACAUAAGUAACGAUAAAGCGGGUGAAAAGC